UACGGGGGGGGCAAGCGUUGUUCGGAAUUACUGGGCGUAAAGGGCUCGUAGGUGGCCAACUAAGUCAGACGUGAAAUCCCUCGGCUUAACCGGGGAACUGCAUCUGAUACUGGAUGGCUUGAGAUUGGGAGAGGGAUGCGGAAUUCCAGGUGUAGCGGUGAAAUGCGUAGAUAUCUGGAGGAAUACCGGUGGCGAAGGCGGCAUCCUGGACCGACAUUGACGCUGAUGAGCGAAAGCUAGGGGAGCAAACGGG
rnacentral:rRNA from 1 species